rnacentral:rRNA from 1 species
CCCUUAGAUGUUCUGGGCCGCACGCGCGCUACACUGAUUCAUGCAACAAGUUUUGUCCUUGGCUGAUAGGCCUGGGUAAUCUUUGAACGUGAAUCGUGAUGGGGAUAGAUGAUUGCAAUUAUUCAUCUUCAGCGAGGAAUUCCUAGUAAACGCAAGUCAUCAGCUUGCAUUGAUUACGUCCCUGCCCUUUGUACACACCGCCCGUCGCACCUACCGAUUGAAUGGUCCGGUGAAAUCUUCGGAUCUGAGAGAUGUCUGAUUAAUUUCGGACGCCUUUUGGAAAAGUUGUUUAAACCUUACCAUUUAGAGGAAGGUGAAGUCGUAACA